rnacentral:rRNA from 1 species
AUUGAACGCUGGCGGCAUGCCUUACACAUGCAAGUCGAACGGAUUCAAGAGGCUUGCUUCUUGAGUUAGUGGCGAACGGGUGAGUAAAGCAUCGGAACGUACCCAGUUGUGGGGGAUAACGUAGCGAAAGUUACGCUAAUACCGCAUACGCACUGAGGUGGAAAGCGGGGGAACGAAAGGCCUCGCGCAAUUCGAGCGGCAGAUGUCGGAUUAGCUAGUUGGUGAGGUAAAGGAUCACCAAGGCGACGAUCCGUAGCUGGUCUGAGAGGACGACCAGCCACAAUGGAACUGAGACACGGUCCAGACUCCUACGGGAGGCAGCAGUGGGGAAUUUUGGACAAUGGGCGAAAGCCUGAUCCAGCCAUGCCGCGUGAAUGAAGAAGGCCUUCGGGUUGUAAAGCUCUUUCAGACGGAAAGAAAUCUUUCGGGUGAAUAUCCCGGAAGGAUGACGGUACCGUAAGAAGAAGCACCGGCUAACUACGUGCCAGCCGCCGCCGUAA